UGGCUUAGUGGUAAAGCACUUAUCUUCUGAAUCGGGGUCCCGGGUUCGAAUCCUGG
rnacentral:tRNA from 1 species